rnacentral:sRNA from 1 species
CGGGCGUGGUGGCGUGCGCCUAUAGUUCCAGCUACUCAGGAGGCUGAGGCAGGAGGAUCACUUGAGCCCAGGAGGUCAAGUCUACAGUCAGCCGUGAUUGCACCACUCCAUUCCAGCUUGGGCGACAGAGCAAGACCAUCUCAAAAAAACAAAAACGAAAGAAAUGAGAGCGAGGUGGGGCUAAGCACUGCCUAGAGUCUGGGAUCCGGUUCAUUGGGAGAAACCCUGGGUAGUGAAAGUGUGGACUGCUGUAUUCCUCUGUUCUCCCCUAAGAUUGGACCCAAAGACAGUGGUCAGUGGGAGGGGGUGGCCAGCCUCUUUGAGCCAUUUCUUCUUCAGGCCCAGACGAGAGUGAAACUGAACUACUUGGACCAGAUUGCCAAAUUCUGGGAAAUCCAGGGCUCCUCCUUAAAGAUUCCCAAUGUAGAACGGCGGAUCUUGGACCUCUACAGUCUCAGCAAAAUUGUGGUGGAGGAAGGUGGUUAUGAAGCUAUCUGCAAGGACCGUCGGUGGGCUCGGGUAGCCCAGCGCCUCAACUAUCCACCAGGCAAAAAUAUUGGCUCCUUGCUACGCUCCCACUACGAACGCAUUGUUUAUCCC